rnacentral:tRNA from 1 species
GGGGCGGUAGCGUAGUUGGGAGCGCGUCAGACUGAAGUUAUACUUCAUUCAAGUUUAUCUGAAGGUCACCGGUUCGAUCCCGGUUCACCCCA